GGAAGGGGUGUAUUUAUUAGAUUAAAAACCAAUGCCCUUCGGGGCUUUCUGGUGAUUCAUGAUAACUUCUCGAAUCGCAUGGCCUUGCGCCGGCGAUGGUUCAUUCAAAUUUCUUCCCUAUCAACUUUCGAUGCGAGGGUCUUGUCCUCGCAUGGUUUCAACGGGUGACGGAGGGUUAGGGCUCGACCCCGGAGAAGGAGCCUGAGAAACGGCUACUACAUCCAAGGAAGGCAGCAGGCGCGCAAAUUACCCAAUCCCGACACGGGGAGGUAGUGACAAUAAAUACUGAUACAGGGCUCUUUUGGGUCUUGUAAUCGGAAUGAGUACUAUUUAAAUCCCAUAACGAGGAACAAUUGGAGGGCAAGUCUGGUGCCAGCAGCCGCGGUAAUUCCAGCUCCAAUAGCGUAUAUUAAAGUUGUUGUGGUUAAAAAGCUCGUAGUUGAACCUUGGGCCUGGCUUGUCGGUCCCCCUCACCGGGUGCACCGAUCCAGCCGGGUCUUUCCCGCUGUGGAACCCCAUGGCCUUCGUUGGUCGUGGCGGGGAACCAGGACUUUUAC
rnacentral:rRNA from 1 species